rnacentral:rRNA from 1 species
AUUGAACGCUGGCGGCGUGCUUUACACAUGCAAGUCGGACGGCAGCAUUACCUUCGGGUAGAUGGCGAGUGGCGAACGGGUGAGGAAUACAUCGGAACAUGCCUAUUAGAGUGGGAUAACUGAUCGAAAGAUGAGCUAACAACGCAUAGUCUCUGAGGAGGAAAGCUGGGGACCUUCGGGGCUGGCGCUGAUAGAGUGGCCGAUGGUCGAUUAGUUAGUUGGUGAGGUAAGCGCUUACCAAGGCGAUGAUCGAUAGCUGUUCUGAGAGGAAGAUCAGCCACACUGGGACUGAGACACGGCCCAGACUCCUACGGGAGGCAGCAGUGGGGAAUAUUGGACAAUGGGCGAAAGCCUGAUCCAGCAAUGCCGCGUGAGUGAUGAAGGCCUUAGGGUUGUAAGGCUCUUUUACCAGGGAUGAUAAUGACAGUACCUGGAGAAUAAGCUCCGGCUAACUCCGUGCCAGCCGCCGCAGUAA